UACUACCAUACACAUACACAUACACACAAUGUAGUUAUACACACUUUAUGUAAGUUUAUACAUGCUCAUGCUGCACUACACACACAAUCGCUUGAAUUCUUGUCAAGGGGAUUUCCAAGUCUGUGCUUUUUUUUAACAUGUUUAACACCUUUUCACCUCACAUCACCACAACCUAUUUUCUUGUCCCAAACAGGCUCUAUGCACAGCUCCACUUCUUCCUGACCUCAGUGUAACCUAGGGUAUAAACUGCCUUUAAUUCCACCUUGCUGCUCCAUUGGCUAGAAUGACAAUUGGUCACAUGGUGCAUUCAGCCAAUCACUGCAUCUGGAGUGGUUAUUCAGGCCUGCUCCAGCUUUCCCAGUCAGGUGUGAGGGGGAGAGCUGGAGACAAAGGAGCUACAGAUCUGCAUACCCAGUGAGCUUGAAGCUAAGAAGUUGCCUUUCCCUGAACUAUUUAUGGAAUUGGCCAGGUGAUCCCUUUUUAGGGUUAAAAGGAUGGCGAGCUUUUCACAACUGGCUGGGCCAGGAGAACCUGAUAUUCCCUCCAUGCUGAUCUGGUAGGAGGCUGAUGGUCUGUAGCAUUUUUCCCCUUCCUUCUCAUCAUACCGACACACAAUUCAUGAUUCAUCUCUUCUCCGUUGGACACAAUUUGCGCUUGGACAUUUUUCACCUAAAAUAACUGGACAAUCAAACUAUGGACUUUUUGUGCGUCAGUCAGACAUGGUGCUGACUGGUGGGGAAAUGCAGGAGUUUUGUGGACAUUCAAGAAGAUCUACUGCAUUGUUGUAUAUAUUUAUUGUAUUUAUAUUGUUUGGGUUUAUGUAUGUUUUGUGGUGUUUAUUUUUUUCCCUUUGCUUCAAAAAUGCAUAAUAUUGAAAGCAGUUGUUCCUUUGUAUUGGUUUUUCAUUAAUCACUGACAGCAGCUCCUGCAGACGAAUUUAGACUUCUGAUGUCAUAUGCGUUCUGGUCUUUAAAUAUCUAAAUUAGUGUUACAUCAGCAGCUCCUUUAUUUCCUGUCUUUCAUUACUGGACAGACUGAUUAAUCCAGGUGUCUGACCUCAUUAACC